rnacentral:rRNA from 1 species
AACGAACGCUGGCGGCAUGCCUAACACAUGCAAGUCGAACGAGACCUUCGGGUCUAGUGGCGCACGGGUGCGUAACGCGUGGGAAUCUGCCCUUCGGUUGGGAAUAACUGAGAGAAAUUUCAGCUAAUACCUUAUAAUGUCUUCGGACCAAGGAUUUAUCGCCGAGGGAUGAGCCCGCGUAGGAUUAGGUAGUUGGUGGGGUAAUGGCCUACCAAGCCGACGAUCCUUAGCUGGUCUGAGAGGAUGAUCAGCCACACUGGGACUGAGACACGGCCCAGACUCCUACGGGAGGCAGCAGUGGGGAAUAUUGGACAAUGGGCGAAAGCCUGAUCCAGCAAUGCCGCGUGAGUGAUGAAGGCCUUAGGGUUGUAAAGCUCUUUUACCCGGGAUGAUAAUGACAGUACCGGGAGAAUAAGCUCCGGCUAACUCCGUG